UUACUGCCAGAACUCUGACAUCCUGGUGGGCUCCAGAGCCAUGAGGGACCGGCACCUGCGGCUGCUGGGCUACUGUCUGGUUCAGCUGCCCUACACAGAGCUGGAGAAGGUGAGUGGCAUCGAUGAGGCCAAGCACUACCUGCGG